rnacentral:miRNA from 1 species
UGCUGAGGGUAUCGAGUUUAUGU